UCAAGUAACUAAAAAAAACCCUAAUGCUGGCUCAAAGGCCAAUCCCAUCCCCCCUCACUCUCUCUGAGCUUUGAAGCUCACUCCAGCGGCAGAACCUCCCUCUCCCUCUCUCCCUCACAAAAUAUAUUCAGAGAACUUCAAUCCCUCAUGUAAAUAUUCUAAAGUUUUCCCAAUGGAAGCAAAUUUGCAGUUAUACUGAGGCAAGUUUAUGCCUUCUAGUGUCACAUGCCGACUCAAAUCUUGUCAUUUUCAUGAAACUGCAUAGAGCAUUUUCCUUCUACACCAACCUCAAGUUUUGCACCAAACCCAACAACAACAAAGCUUCUUCUUUGUCACAAGAAUAAUAAUAAUCAUAUAUCAUGAAGACAACAUCAAUAACAACAGCAGCAGCAACUUGAACUGAAGGGAACUCAUAUUGAGAAGCAGUGAAAUAGCAACCGUUGGUGCUAUCUUCACUUUCAGGUAACCCCUUCUCUAUGUUCUUUUUUCUCCCUGUUUAUCAUUAUCACCAUUUUUGAACUGGGGUAAGGUCAUGUAUCUUUUAUUUUGAUUUGAGGAAAAGGAUUUGAUUUUGGAAAUUUUCUGUGGUGAUUUGUUGUCUUCUUUUCUUUGAUUUAUGCCUUUGAUUGCUCUAAUUUUGUACUGUGGUUUGUUUUUUGGUGCGCUUUUCAUUUUAAGAGGAUUACUAAGUUACUUAAAGAUUCAUUUUAAAAAUUUAGUCCUUUAAAAUUAUUACUUGACAUGAUAUAAAAAAAUUUGUGAUAUUUUCAACCUUAAAAUGCACUUCAUAUUUCAUCUUAAAAAGGUGUUAUAUAUAUUUGACUAUAUUUGGAGUUUUAGACUUAAAUAUACUCAUUCUGUAAGGAUUUUUGGACAUCAUUUUUUUUAACUUGUAUAAAUCUCUAUAAAUUAUGUCUUUUUAGAAGCAGUAAAGACAAAAAUUCUAGCAAAUGAGUAAGAGGACCAAAUCUAAGAAAUAUAGGGUAAUCUCCUAUGUAUCUCAUACCGUUAAUGCAGAGUCUUAAAUUCAUACUUCUUGCUUAUCUUAUUUUGUGGAAGUGUAUACAAAAAUCAGUUAUUAAAAAAUUAAAAAAAUUAAAAUACACAUAUAUUUAUAUAUAAAUACAUUGGUGAUUGAUUGUAUUAUAAAAAUAAUAAUUUUGUAUAUUAAUAUAACAAAAAGAGAUUAAUCUCUCAUUCCAUAUCACAUGUACAAAAUUUUAUUGUUUAUGUAUAAAAUCUUUAUUUAUAGAUUAAAAAAUUAAACCAUGAAAUAAAAUAUAGGAGAAUAGUAGUAAGUUAGUUGAUUGAAGAGUGCCAUGACUAAAUACUUGGCAGUUGUCAGAUUUAUUUGAAUUUAAAAACCAUUUCAGUUAUUUGUGAUGAGUUAUAAUAUAAUACACUUUAUCCUUAUUAUUUUAACAUUAAUUCAAAACUAAUGCUGUAAAUGGUUAUUUGUAUGAUUGUUUUCAAUACACUGCUUAAAAAGAAUGAUCGAGUUGAGCGCAAUCUUUCUCCUUUUGAUAUCAGAAUUUGAAAACAAAUUUUAAGCGCUAUCUUUCCUUCUUGAGUGCACAGAUUUAAUCCAGGUUUAAAAAUAAUUUCUUUUCUAGAUUCCCUCUAUCUCUCUUUCUCUUCUUUCUUUCUUGUACUCUCUCUCUCUGAUUGAGUACACAAAUGGAGUGGUAGGUUCAAAAUACAUGGAGAUAUCACAAGCGAGGAAGAAGAAGCAAGGACUUUCGCUGCUGAUGGAAGCAGUAACGGUGUCUGUUGAUAAUACAAAAUGGAGAGAGACAGAGAAAGGCAGAACAAAGCAAAGAAGAUGAAAACAACAGAGUGACAAAAGGAAGCACGACCGAAGAAGGAGAAGAAGGCGGCAACGACGGUGAUGGAUUGAGAAAGGAGGAGGCUACGUCGAGAGAGAAAGGAAGAGGAGUGAGGUGACGACGGUGAUGGAUCCACAGAACAGCGUCACAGCGGAACUUUACCGAUGGCGGCUGUGGGUGCUGCAAAUGCGUCGAAGCAGUUCAUUGUACAUUGGGGAUCUGGACCCUGAGGUCGAUGAGAACCUCUACGAUUUGUUCGAUCAGGUCGGACAAGUGGUUUCGUUGCUUUUCAGUUAUAUGAUCUAAGGCAGACAAGGUAUAUUGAACUCAAAGAGGUAGAGUGCUUUUUCUAUUUCCUUUUAACAAAUCAGCAUUAAGUAUUAGCGGCUAAUAUUGCUUGCUCUUUGAAAUAUAUGAAUCUUCUAUUAUUAUUGUUAGUUUCAAUAUUUUGUAUGGAUAUAUUAUAAAUAAGAAAUUCCCGAUCAUGGUUGAAAUUGAAAAUUUAAAUACCUGUGGUCCUUAGAAUUUGCAAUCAGUAAUGCAGAUUUUAUCUAAUCCUUUUCAAUGUUUGGAUUCGGCUCCUCGCCUCCCUCAAUUAUGAAUGCUAUGUUAGUUAGUGGUUGUCAUGUUAGACAGGAUUAAGUAAAUUUCAGUGAAUCAUGCGAGUUGGGGAAAAAAGUAUUCCAUCUUUGUAAUUGUUAUGACGUUAGAAUAAUUUGGGGUUGACUCAUGAAUAAUUUAAAUUUUUUUAGUUGAACCUGAAUUAACAUAAUGUAAAGUGCUUUAGGAAAAAAAAAUUUCUGUUUAAUUACGAACAAUUAUUUAUUAGAUUUUGAAGCAUUCGGUUAUUAAAACAUGUUUGAUUCUUUUAGAAUCAUCACAAUUUUUAUCAUACUGAUUUCGUAACUCAUGUACAAAUAUAACACGAAGGCUCUAGAAAUAAAAAAGAAUAAAAAACUAGAAGAAUUAUAUAAUGUGAAGUCUUUCUCAUUAUACAUAUAUAUGAUUGGGGGAUUCAGUGAAGUCUUCCCCAUAAUUGUCAUUUACAAAAGAAAAUUUUAUAAUGUGUAGUCAGAAGCAUACUAAUUUAAGCAAGGUAAUCGUAUAUUUUUGUUGUUCUUUUCACUCUCUAGAUACUCCCUAUCUAUCAGACUUUCUAUUAUUUUCUUUAUGUUUAUGGGUUUUAUUGGGAAUUUGAGCUGUUUCAAAAAAAGAUUGUAAUCAGAAACAAGUUCAAUUUGUUAUUCUAUUGGACUUUGAUAUUCAUGUAUGUGUGAAUAUAUUCAUGUAUUUCGUUAUUCUAUUGGACUUUGUUAUUCUAUUAGUUCUUUAUUUAAUUAAAUUUCCUUUAUUUUUGGCAGUCUAGCUACCUACUCUUUCUCAAAUAUAUAACAUUAUAAUUCAGGUUUCAAUUUUGACCUCCAAACUAUUAAUGAUGAUGGAGAGUUGAAAAGUGACCAAGACUAAUGAAAAAAUUAUUUAUCAUUAUAUUUCAUCUCUGAUGUGGAGUUUUUUUUUAAUAAUUGAAUCUAAUUAUUUUUUAUUGUAAAAUUAAUUGUUUAACUCAAAUUUUUAAUAUUUGAAAUUUAAAAUUAGAAUUUAGAAUAAAAAUAUAAUUUUAAAAAAUUAAUUGAUAUGAAAAAAAAUUUAAUUUUUGUUGACCUCAAAAAAGAAUACAAGAAUUCUUUUAGAAGAUGUACUUUUCAUUGUAUGAAAAUUUCUCCUUUUUUCAUUUAUUGUUGAUGAUCAUAAUAAUCUCUCUGUAAUUCAUUUCUUAGGUGGGUUUAGAUUAGAAUAAUGUAUUGCAUAAUGGAUAAUAGAUAGAGAUAUAUGGAGGGAAAGGGAGAGAGCAGGGCUAUAGAUAUAUCAAUAUAGAAAUAAGAUGGCAUCUCUCCUUAAUAUAUAUGUUUAAUGUGCUUUCUAAUUAAGUUGUAUGAUUUUUGUUUAAGUUGGAUUGGAGAAGAAGUACGAUGAUGCAUCUGUUUCUUUACAGCAAUGAUAAAUGAACAACUAAUUAAUAGGGGGCAUCAAAUGAUGGAUGAAACAGACUAAAAUAUUGACAGGGGAAAGAAGGUUACUAUAUAUUUCUUGAAAUAUCCUUACAAAAUUUCGUUGUUGCUAGCUAUUCAUGUGUGUUCAUUGUUAAUAACACAUUGUUCAAGAGACUCUAAAUAUUGGAAUGGAGACUGCAGCAACUCUAAAGUCUCAGGUGUAUAUACAACUUAUGAUGUUGCUUAACCUCUUUAUUAAUACACACAUCAAAUUAAAUCAAUAUACUUACCUACUACGGGCCUGCUACACAUACAAGCAUACAAGCAACUAAGUUGGCCCAGCCCAAACACGAAACACGCGCACGAAAGAGAGAUAAGAUGCCGCGUCCAAAUCACGCGCUCAGCAUUCGAACGGUUACGUAUGGGAGACUCUUCCACUUCUUCCACUUCUUCCAUUUCUCAAGGCACUUUCAAAUCAAUGAAACCCUCUCAUUUUCGAGCGAAGAUCAACUUUCAAAAUAUAGAAAUCGUAGUUCGAAAACUGCAUCAAAACACCAUCAACCUCUCUGUGAAGAAGAAUCUGAAGAAAAAACAAACCAAGAAUACUCAACUUUCAGAAAAAAUGGCAGCAAGAAACCAAACCAAAGACCUCAAAUGUGCCACACAUCUCCUGAAUGAUAAGUUCAGAAACAUGACUGAGAAGAAGAAGGCCAUUGUCAGGGAUCUUGGAUUCGGUGGGUUGAUGCACAUCCCACCACUGAGGGUGGAUCACCAACUCUUGAGAGAGUUGGCAAAAAACUUCAAACUUGGGGAGAACAAACUGAGGACAGGAUAUGGUUCUUUCCAUAUAACCCCGAAAAAAAUAGGUGAUGCGCUUGGCAUCAAUGCAACAGGAGAUCUAUUUCCUGAGAAAGUUGACUACAAGAAACUUUCUGAAUCUGACAAAAUAAUUUAUAAAAGAUUCCAGGGUAAGACCCUCAAAAGUCUUACCGAUGAAAUGAUGGAAAUCGGCGUUGGCAACGAAGAGGAACGCCUGAUGUUCAAGAGGAUAUUCAUCCUCUACAUACAGAUGGCGUUCCUUUUGCCAACGACGAUAAACAAAAUAUCGCCGGUGCACCUGGUCCCGAUUUUUGAGAUGGAGGGCAUAGAGGAGAGAAACUGGGGGGGCAUGUCUUGACCUUCAUGAUCAGGGGCAUAACAGACUACCAGGAGAAGAAGAAGAAGGCAAUCAAUGGCUGCCUCUUCGCCCUGAUGAUAAUCUACUUUCACCUCUCAAACGCAGUCGGAAGCGCUUGCAAUAGUCCCGAUCCAAUUUUUUGUGCCGCCAUCCCAGCAAACAACCACUGACGCAGAUUCCGAACCAACCCCUAUGCUACAGAUUGAAGGGGCUAGAGAAACCACUCCUGAAACCCCCAAACAACAUCAAGAAACAACACCCAAGCUUCCCCCAGCUCCAACAAAAAUUCAUCCAGACGCCGAGGACGCUGCUGCCCUGUUGAUGAUGGCACGGACAGCAAGCUAUGUUCCUAAAACAGAUCUGCCGAUGCCAUCAUUCAGCCUCGGAUUGACAGAUUCAAGCCAGGAGGGGGCGUCGACGCAGGAGACAGAAAGGGAAAAAUCUCCAGAAACUGCAACUAUACUGGAACAAUUGGACAGUUUGGUCCAAAAGUUAGCAAAGGGAAAAGACGAAAGUCCGCAAAUUCGGAGGGAGACUGGGGGAGAAAGUUCUGCUAAGUUUGAAACACCGGGGGAACAAAUCAAAUUCCGGAUGAUAUGAAAGAAAAGUGCUACAUCUGGGGGACGAGACUGAAGGAGGAUGCAAAGGGUGAUACUAACGAGUUUGAGGAGAUAUGCACUGUGACUGGCCAAGGAGAGUAUAUUUUGAUGAGAACGCACCUUGCAUCCCUCCAGGCAAACAGUGAUAUAGAAUGUCAGGUUGUAUCUGCCAUCUGCCUCAUCCUAAACCAGAAAAAGGAAAAGAGGUUUCAUGCACAAAUAUACUGUCUCCCCCCAGAUAUUGUGAGCAUGGCACUUUCUGAUCACCCAAAGGGG